AAUUUUUUAAAAACAUUUCUUGGUAAUGUGGGGGCCAAAGCCCCCCCAAUUGCACAAGAAUUGCUUUCAUGACAUGCUUAAGCUGUCCACAUUGAUUUGGAUUCAAACUGAACAUCAUCACAAUAAUUUCCCAAACAUUUCCUCAAGAGAACAAUUCAUCACACUAUGCAAACCGCCCCACCAAUAUUACUUUGACAAACAAAACCCCACAAGAAUUGACUAAUUUUAAGAGUCUCUAGCUAUAAAGGAAAAAAGAAAAAUCUCCUAAUUAGUGGAUGACACACCCCACCAAAGUUUACUAACCUAAAACAACAACAACAAGGCCUUGAUAAAGGCAAUAAAAUAAAAGGCAGAUUAGUGGGCAAAAGGAGGUUUUUAGAUAUAUACACCUGAAACUUGCUUGCUUACAUCUGAGAGUAAAAAAAAGAAUAAAAAUUUUGGACAAAAAGAAAGUAAAAAAAGAAGAUAGUAGUGCGCUAGCCCACCAUAGCUCCAUGGCUCCAUAGGACAUAGGACUUUGAGAUGGGUUAUUUUUAUUGGUAAAAAGGUUCAAUUUCAUCACAAAUUUCUUGUUUGCAUCCUCUUGAGAUUAAUUUAUUCCUUGGGAUUGACUUUCUGUUUAGGCCCACGUCCU
rnacentral:lncRNA from 1 species